rnacentral:rRNA from 1 species
GAUAACCUGCCCUUGGGUCCGGCAUAACCCCGGGAAACUGGGGAUAAUACCGGAUACCAUAUCUGGAAUUUUAUGUAAAGGUUCGCUGCCCAAGGAUGGGUCUGCGGCCUAUCAGGUAGUAGGGGUGUAAUGUACCUCUAGCCGACGACGGGUACGGGUUGUGAGAGCAAGAGCCCGGAGAUGGAUCUGAGACAGAAUCCAGGCCCUACGGGGCGCAGCAGGCGCGAAAACUUUACAAUGCGGAAACGUGAUAAGGGGACACCGAGUGCCACAUAAUGCUGGCUGUCCGGGUGUAAAAUACCCUGUAGCAAGGGCCGGGCAAGACCGGUGCCAGCCGCCGCGGUAACACCGGCGGCCCGAGUGGUGAUCGUGAUUAUUGGGUCUAAAGGGUCCGUAGCCGGUUUGUCAGUCCUCGGGAAAUCUACGGCUUAACGUAGGCUUCGGGGAUACUGCAGACUUGGAACCGGGAGAGGUAGAGGUACUACGGGGUAGGAGUGAAAUCUUGUAAUCCCGUGGGACCACCUGUGGCGAAGGCGUCUACCAGAACGGUUCGACGGUGAGGGACGAAAGCUGGGGGCACGAACCGGAUUAGAUACCCGGGUAGUCCCAGCCGUAAACGAUGCUSCUAGGUGUCGGUGGCCGACCUGUCGGUGCCGAGGGAAGCCGUGAAGCAGCCACCUGGGAAGUACGGCCGCAAG